AUUCAGCUGGCGAUUUCAAGCGUUCUGAAUUGAUUCCAGUGGCAGUCGCCAGCAUCGACAGCCUCUUCAAUGCCGCGACUCAUCUCCUUCGUUCCCCUCUGUUCCGCGGCUGAGAGCCUCGAAAUGUUCCAGUUCGCUCGGAGCUUCUCCACCUGUUCAGGUUUCCAUCAUCGACACGUUCUAGAGCUUCUUUCAGUGAUUCGUGCGGCCAAUGGUGGCCUCAAUUCGCUUCGUUAACCAGACAUGAUUACGAGUAUAUUCCAUGGUUGCCAAGAAUGAAACCGACUCUUCCUUGGUUUUCUCUGUGCUUCUUGAGAUCCUUGGUGAUUAAUGGUGGUCGCAGGCGAGAGGUCAAGGCUUAAGAGUCGCUGGCACAUGCAUUGACCUUUGGUGAUGAGCAUAGUAUGCCUUGUCGAACAGAAUCGAGACGACGUCGGUGAGCAUGAAUCGCAAUCACACCAAUUCAGAUCAUGAAAUUCGGCCAACAUAUGUUAUGGUCACUAACUGGAGCAAUGUUAUGGCUGGUUGCUAGCCACGUCCUUGCUGCUGAGUCGCCCCGCAAUGUCCUCAACUGCACAAUGUCUCGAUACUUUGUUGCAAAAACAAUGUGCGUUACCUGCCUCACAAUUCUUGUCUUGUCCUUCGGUUAUUGAUUACUACACCGUCAUCAAUUUCAUUGUCCGGAAGCAGGUAAUCAAUCUAAGAGCACCCACUAAAAUCA